rnacentral:rRNA from 1 species
CCUACGGGAGGCAGCAGUGAGGAAUAUUGGUCAAUGGGCGGAAGCCUGAACCAGCCAAGUCGCGUGAGGGAAUAAGGCCCUACGGGUCGUAAACCUCUUUUGCCGGGGAGCAAGGGCGGGGACGUGUCCCGGCCCGGAGAGUACCCGGAGAAAAAGCAUCGGCUAACUCCGUGCCAGCAGCCGCGGUAAUACGGAGGAGGCGAGCGUUAUCCGGAUUUAUUGGGCGGAAAGGGUGCGCAGGCGGCAACAUAAGUCAGAUGUGAAAUCCCCGGGCUUAACCUGGGAACUGCGUUUGAAACUUUGUGGCUAGAGUACAGCAGAGGGGGGUGGAACUCCAUGUGUAGCAGUGAAAUGCGUAGAUAUAUGGAAGAACAUCGAUGGCGAAGGCAGCCCCCUGGGUUGAUACUGACGCUCAUGCACGAAAGCGUGGGGAGCAAACAGGAUUAGAUACCCUUGUAGUC